rnacentral:rRNA from 1 species
UAAUACGUAGGGGGCAAGCGUUGUCCGGAUUUACUGGGCGUAAAGAGCGCGUAGGCGGAGAGUUAAGCGUGCCUUGAAAGCCCCCGGCUCAACCGGGGAAGGUGGGUGCGAACUGGCUUUCUUGAGGGCGAUAGAGGGGGGCGGAAUUCCUGGUGUAGCGGUGAAAUGCGUAGAGAUCAGGAGGAACACCCGUGGCGAAGGCGGCCCCCUGGGUCGGCCCUGACGCUGAGGCGCGAAAGCGUGGGGAGCGAACGGGAUUAGAUACCCCGGUAGUCCACGCCGUAAACGAUGGUCACUAGGUGUUUGUGGUAUCGACCCCGCAAGUGCCGCAGCUAACGCAAGAAGUGACCCGCCUGGGGAGUACGGCCGCAAGGUUG